CUAAAGAUAUAUCAAGUAUUGAUUUUGGAAGCAAACAAAUUAACAUUACAUUAAAUGGUGGCCAUGAUGUACUGUCACUAACCUGAAUGUCACCUCCUCUUGUCCUGUCAGCAUCAUUGUCCCACCUCUUUACCUGAAGCAAACACAGCUAGGACCCUAUAAUUUACGCGAUCACGGAAUCGCGGGAUUGGCAAAUUAACACGGAAUCUAGUGUUAACGUGGAAUUUUACAUAUUUUGAAUAAAAUUCUGUUUUGCAGACCGGGGGAAGUAAAUCUGGGCGACAGACCCCCUCCACACUGAAACCACGGCGAAGCGGCUCUCCAAGACUCUGCUUUCGUCAGCGAAAAAAAAUAAAAAACAUUCGACGCUGAGGCUCCGAAGAGUUCUCACAUGACUUUUAUGUGACCGGAGAACUGUUAUUUUAGACAGGCAAGAGUGGGCUGAUCUAGAACCUGUUCCACAAGAUGAUGGACCCAAUCCAGUGGUGAAGAUUGCUUAUUCAGAAAAAUUCAUGGAUGUGUUUGAUAUGUUUCGGGCACUCCUGAAGAACGAUGAGAAGAGCGAGAGAGCGUUUGCACUGAGUGCUGAUGCCAUCGAUCUCAACGCUGCCAAUUAUACAGUAUGGCAUUUAUGGUCAAAAUGAGAAAGAGGCUGCUUUGAUCGACAUGAUUGAUGAUUUCCUGGUAGAGAUUCAGGCAAAAUACAUGAAGCUUAUUUAUCAGGAAUAUGAAACAGGAAAAGAAAAAUAUCUGAAGGAACUGCCUGAAAGUCUUGGGCGCUUGGAAAAAAUCUUAAGCAGCAACUAAGGAGGAUUUCUGGAACAGAAAUUUUGAUGUUUGUUUCUUUCAUUCACAGAUUUCCUUUGCCGACUAUCUGCUGCUGUCGCUCCUCUUAUAUCAUCAGGUCCUCUCUCCAUCCUGCCUGGAUUCUUUUCCAACCUUGAGAAGUUACCUGGAUAAAAUUUCUUCCAGACCCAACCUGAAGGCCUACAUGCAGAGCGAUGCUUUCAAGAACAAACCCAUCAAUGCCAACGGGAAACAGUAAAGGCAUCAUAAAGUCUCAUGUCAUCUGAAAUGCCCACUUUCAAACACAUACUGUAGUGACGGAUUUCCAAAGCUGUACAUUUUGC